rnacentral:rRNA from 1 species
GAUGAACGCUGGCGGCGUGCUUAACACAUGCAAGUCGAACGAUGAAGCCCAGCUUGCUGGGUGGAUUAGCGGCGAACGGGUGAGUAACACGUGAGUAACCUGCCCUUAACUCUGGGAUAAGCCUGGGAAACUGGGUCUAAUACCGGAUAGGAGCGUCCACCGCAUGGUGGGUGUUGGAAAGUUUUUUCGGUUGUGGAUGGACUCGCGGCCUAUCAGCUUGUUGGUGAGGUAAUGGCUCACCAAGGCGACGACGGGUAGCCGGCCUGAGAGGGUGACCGGCCACACUGGGACUGAGACACGGCCCAGACUCCUACGGGAGGCAGCAGUGGGGAAUAUUGCACAAUGGGCGCAAGCCUGAUGCAGCGACGCCGCGUGAGGGAUGACGGCCUUCGGGUUGUAAACCUCUUUCAGUAGGGAAGAAGCGAAAGUGACGGUACCUGCAGAAGAAGCACCGGCUAACUACGUG